rnacentral:rRNA from 1 species
GUUGACCAUGGGCGAAGCCUGAGCAGCAACGCCGCGUGGGUGAUGAAGGCCUUCGGGUCGUAAAGCCCUGUCAGCGGGGAAAAAACUCCGAGGUUCGAACAGGGCCUCGGAUUGACGGUACCUGCGGAGGAAGCACCGGCUAACUCCGUGCCAGCAGCCGCGGUAAAACGGAGGGUGCGAGCGUUGUUCGGAAUUACUGGGCGUAAAGCGCGUGCAGGCGGUCUUUUAAGUUUCGUGUGAAAUCCCCCGGCUUAACCGGGGAAUGGCGCGGAAAACUGGAAGACUUGAAUACGGGAGGAGAGGGCGGAAUUCCCAGUGUAGAGGGGGAAGUCGGGGAUAUUGGGAGGAACACCGGUGGCGAAAGCGGCUCUCUAGACCGAUAUUGACGCUCAUACGCGAGAG